AGAAGUGGGAGAGAGAGAGAGAGAGAGAGGGAGGUAAUCUAAAAGCGCAAUGCUCGCACUUUAUUCCCUUCGCUUCAAAUUGGAUACUUUGCUGUACUCCGAGAAGGAGGUUGAGGAGGAGAAAGAGUGGUGUCUGUGAAUGUCCGCUUCAUUGCGUCCCCCAUUCUCCAUCGCUCUCUUCUUCUUCCGUCUAGUGCCGAGAUUGGUGUUUCUGUUUCCAAAGUCUGAUCUUUAUUGCUCCGAGGCUAUAGAUUGAAGUCCCAUUGGCGAAAGGAGAAGUUUUUCCUUUCUUUUGAGCUUUGGUUUGGAGUGGAUGGUCAGCUCCUGCUCACUUGUUGUGUUCUGCGAUGUACCCUGGAAUGGUGUACCUUCCUCGAGGGUGCUAACCGGUUCUCUUGUUUCUGCGGCUUCUUAGUUUUCCGAUCCAUCUCUGUGGGAAGAAGUUUGGAAUCGAUCUUUUUGUCAAAUAGCACUCGAGAAAAAGGUCGGCAUUUGCUGUUCUCCUCGUUGGGAUCCAAAUCAGGGCGAGACUCCUGAAAGCGUAUAGGUGGGGAGAGAAACCAUCUCCCGGUGGCUGCAUGAGGGAGUGCUGAAACAAUGAGAGAUGAGAACUCGAUAAAAACCAAGCUAUCAUGGUCCAAGACGCUUGUUAGAAAAUGGUUCAACAUCAAGAGCAAACCUCAGGACUUCCAUGCAGACGAUGAUGUUGUUGUUGAAAGAGAAGGUGAUGGGGAAUGGCGGACCAACUUCACAGAGAGGGAGACAUGCACAGUUAAGAAAAGCAGAACAGAACGAUUGAACAAAAAAAAUUCAGAACGAGUUCGGCGAGGAAGAUUUGAUGUUGAUGUGGAUCAAGUUGCAGAUGUUGAGGACUAUAAAAUUUUUGUCUCGACAUGGAAUGUAGGUGGGAAAUCUCCACCAAAAAAUUUGAAUCUUGAAGAAUGGAUCCAUGCUUCACCGCCGGCAGACAUUUACGUUCUGGGAUUUCAAGAGAUUGUUCCUCUCAAUGCUGGAAAUGUUCUUGGUGCAGAAGACAAUGUUCCAGCAAAGAAAUGGUUGUCACUCAUUAGAAAGACACUGAACACUCUUCCGGGCAGUUGUAGUUCCGGCAACUACAGUAUACUGUCCCCUCUUCCCGAUCCGCUUGUGGAGCUAGAUGCUGAUUUUGAGGGCUCCUCAACGAGGCAAAAGAAUUCAUCAUUGCUUCACCGACGUUCAUUCCAUUCCAUGAGUCGCAGUUUAAGAAUUGAUGGUGAUAUCAUGGCAAUGCAACCAAGGCUGGAUCGCCGGUUCAGUGUUUGUGAUCGGACAAGCAUUGCAAGCAGACCAAGUAAUUUUGAUCCCAGUUUUAGAUGUGGAGGUUCAUCUGAUGAUGAGAAACUUGGGGGAGAAUCUCCUUCGACAGAUAUUUUUUCACCAAUGUCUUAUGUCUAUGGUGCUCCACAAUAUUUGGAAGAAAGGGAGAGAUCAUCCCUCCGCUCUAAUUCCAGGUAUUGCUUGGUUGCAAGUAAGCAGAUGGUUGGCAUAUUUCUAACAAUUUGGGUGAGAAGUGAAAUAAGAGGUGAUGUGAAGAACUUGAAGGUUUCCUGUGUUGGCAGAGGAUUAAUGGGUUAUCUUGGCAAUAAGGGUUCAAUAUCAAUCAGCAUGUCUUUUCACCGAACAAGCUUCUGUUUCAUCUGUAGUCAUUUGACCUCGGGACAGAAAGAGGGGGAUGAACUACGGAGGAACUCAGAUGUGAUGGAAAUUUUAAGAAAGACUAGGUUUCCUCGGGUGCACAGAGUAUGUGAUGAGAAGUCUCCUGAAACAAUUCUUGAUCAUGAUCGUAUCAUAUGGCUUGGUGAUUUAAACUACCGCAUCGCUCUUUCCUAUCAGUCAGCAAAGGCUUUAGUUGAGAUGCACAACUGGAGAGCUUUGUUGGAAAAAGAUCAGCUUCGAAUAGAGCGAAGAUGUGGCCGUGUUUUCGAGGGAUGGAAAGAAGGAAGGAUAUUUUUUCCUCCAACCUAUAAAUAUUCAAAUAACUCAGAUAGAUACGCAGGGGAUGACACACACCGAAAAGAGAAGCGGCGGACACCUGCAUGGUGUGACCGCAUUUUAUGGUGUGGAAGAGGCCUUACUCAAUUGGCUUAUCUACAUGGAGAGUCUAGAUUCUCUGAUCACAGACCUGUAUACAGCAUUUUCACUGCAGAGGUAGAAAUUACCAAUCACAACCAAAUUACGAACAUGGGUUGCUCUAGCUCUCGGAUUGAGGUGGAAGAACUCUUGCCCUACUCACAUGGUUUCACAGAGUUCAGUUUCUACUGAGGUGGCUGAAGAAAAUCAAACAGAAUCGAGGUUGUUCUAUGUCUUUUGCCAAUAAUUAGCUUCUAAAUCUUUUAGUCUCAGCAACUACCAAAGGAAGAGCAACCACCAGGGAACAAUCACAUCAUAGAAGUUACCUAAAGGGAAAAAAAAGUAUUUUGUGGCUGAACAACCAGUCAAGAGACAAGUCCAAGAACUUCUUUCUGUAAUAAUUGGCAACUAACAUUACAAACUAACCAGCUUACUUCACCUUUGAAAAGCAAGCAGUUUGACAGUUCAGUAGGUUGAUCAAAGGAAGAUGCCCAAACAAAGGGAACUAUUUAAGUCUACCAAAGGACUCCUGGGGAACUUGGGACCACCCUAGAACUGCCAAAUGGGUGUUAGCAUACUUCAAAUUUUGAUUUGUAAUUGUUCUGACACAGAGUGUAAGGAAUUUUUUUUUGUAGAGUGAGAGGAUUGAGUCAAACAACUGUGUAAACAGUACUUUCUGUUUUAUAUGGUGAAAAAGGGAAGCUGAGUUCAGAAUGCACCCAAAUGCAACACUGAUAAAGGAGUGUAGCUACUAUAUGUUCAGUAGGCAUGAAAUAUAUUGUGUUACUGAAAAAAGUUCUUGUCAUUGUUAAUCUGGUUUAUACAAAUUACUUUUUUUUUUUUUUUUUUGUGAGAUUGUAGAAAAGCAUGAACAUGACAGAUAUGGUUGGCAGACUUGGGGACAUGAACUUCGGAGACCUAAAAAAUAGUCCCGAGGGAUUAGGAUGUGUGUACAUAUUUAUUUUGGAGAUGCCUUUUUGAUUUGGCCUUUGGAUGAUUGAAAGAUCCAAGUGGG